GAUGAAGAACGCAGCGAAAUGCGAUAAGUAAUGUGAAUUGCAGAAUUCAGUGAAUCAUCGAAUCUUUGAACGCACAUUGCGCCCGCCAGUAUUCUGGCGGGCAUGCCUGUUCGAGCGUCAUUACAACCCUCAGGCCCCCGGGCCUGGCGUUGGGGAUCGGCGGAGCCCCCCGUGGGCACACGCCGUCCCCCAAAUGCAGUGGCGGUCCCGCCGCAGCUUCCAUCGCGUAGUAGCUAACACCUCGCGACUGGAGAGCGGCGCGGCUACGCCGUAAAACACCCAACUCUUCUGAAGUUGACCUCGAAUCAGGUAGGAAUACCCGCUGAACUUAAGCAUAUCAAUAAGCGGAGGA
rnacentral:misc_RNA from 1 species